AUGCAAAAACAAAAUGAAAUUACAUCGGCACUAGUCCAACAACAACGUUUAAUGGUUUUGCCAGCAAGAGAUAUUCCUGUAUUUAAUGGUGAUCCACUUCAGUAUAUCCCAUUUCUAAAAGCUUUUGAACAAGUGGUGGAGGACAAAGUCAGCUUGUACUACCUGGCACCGUUUACCAGAGGUCAGCCAUUGGAGCUGAUACGUAGUUGCCAGCAUAUGGAAGCUGGCGAAGGUUAUGCUCAUGCAAAGAGGCUGCUUCAUCAGCAUUUUGGCAAUGAGUAUAAAGUCGCUGCUGCAUAUUUGGAAAAGGUCAUAGCUUGGCCCACAAUAAAAUCAGAAGAUGUGACUGCUCUACAGGCUUACUUCCUUUUUUUACGCUCAUGUUGUAAUGUAAUGGAAAGGCUGCAGUACAUGCAAGAGUUAAAUAUACCAAGCAAUAUGAGAGCGAUCAUGUCCAAGUUGACAUUUAAGUUGAGGGAACAAUGGAGAACAACUGCACACAACAUAUUGGAAACCCACAACCACAGGGCAUUAUUUCAGGAUCUGGUUGUGUUCAUUGAAAGACAUGUCAUAAUUCUCUCUGACCCUUUAUUUGGUGACAUUAAAUAUGGACCAACUGGGAAUUCACAAUCAAGGUCAGUCAACAGGAUAAGUUCACAAUCAGGAAGUAAGUUUAAAGAAAACAGUUUUGCCACCAAUGUUGUUACUGUGUCAUCAGCUGAGGAAAUAAGAGGUGAAAUGGCAACCACACAUCCUCACAGCUUAACAAGGAAGUAUAGGUGUGUGUGUUGUGCUCAAAGUCAUUCAUUGGAGGAUUGUCAGCAAUUCAAACGGAAGAAGCAUAGGGAUAAAAUAAGCCUUUUAAUGGAAAAGAAGCUUUGCUUUGGCUGUUUAGGUGCUGGGCACAUUAGCCGUGACUGCUUUAAACGCUUGACAUGUAGGAGUUGUGGUGCAAAUCAUCCAAGUUCACUUCACAUUGAAACGGAAAAUAAAGUAAACACUGACACUGAACCACCUAAGGAGCAGGCAGCAGAGGACAACUUAACACCUCAUGAAACCCGUGGUCAUACAGGGGCCGGUGGAGAACGUUGCUUUCUUUCUAUUUUGCCAGUUCAGAUUAAAUCAGCCAAAGGAGAUCGCAUAUUACACACAUAUGCCUUCCUGGAUCCUGGUAGUUCUGCCACCUUCUGCUCAGAGCGUCUCAUGAGAAGUCUCAAUGUAGUUGGAAGACAAACACAGUUUCUGCUGCAAACAAUGGGUCAGGAAAAGGUUGUGCCAUCAUAUGUGUGUGCAGAUUUAGAAGUAUCCGUUUUAGAGACUAAUAGAUUCUACAAGUUUCCUCAAGUCCUAACACAGGAAAGGAUGCCUGUGAGUGCAGACAACAUGGUAACUGAAGAAGAUACAGCAAAGUGGUCAUAUCUGUCAAAGGUGCACAUUCCUUGUAUACAGGCUGAGGUGGACCUUCUUAUUGGAAGCAAUGUACCAAAGAUGUUGGAGCCAUGGGAGGUCAUAAACAGCCAUGAAGAUGGUCCAUAUGCUAUAAGGACAGCAUUAGGAUGGGUCAUAAACAGUCCUAUGACAUCAAAUUUAUCAACAGCUUUGGUUAACAGGAUUUCUACAUUGAAGUUGGAAAAGUUGUUGUGUGAGCAGUACAACCACGAUUUUAAUGAGAGUGCUACAGAGCAGAAGGGCCUGUCAAGAGAGGAUGUACAGUUUAUGAAAAUAAUGGAAGAUUCUGCAACACUGGAGAAUGGUCACUACAGUCUAAAAUUGCCCUUUAAGAAGGAAAGUGUUUUUCUGCCUAACAACCGCUCUGUGGCAAACCAAAGGUUGCUGAGCCUGAAGAGGAAAUUUCUCAGUAAUGAAAAGUUUUAUGAGGAUUAUAAGGCUUGUCUCAAUGAAAUGAUCAAUAAAGGAUAUGCAGAGCUGGUGCCUACAGAUCAGCUGGAUUGUUGCACUGGGAGUGUUUGGUACAUUCCCCAUCAUGGCGUACAUCACCCAAAAAAGAGGACAUUGAUAGUGGUGUUUGAUUGUGGUGCAGCAUUUAAGGGAACAUCACUAAAUGAGCAGCUGUUACAAGGUCUCAAUCUUACCAGCACCCUACUCGGAGUCCUCCUCAGAUUCAGGCAUGAAUCAGUUGCAGUUAUGGGAGACAUACAGUCCAUGUUUCAUCAGAUGAAGGUGUCGGAGGAGGACAGAAAUUUCCUACGGUUUCUAUGUUGGCCAGAGGGAGAUCUCACCAAGGAGGUGUCUGAAUUUCGAAUGACCGUUCAUCUAUUUGGUGCUGUAUCCUCUCCAAGCUGUGCUAGCUUUGCGCUGAGAAAAACAGCAGAUGAUAAUCAGUCCAGUUUUCCAUCUGAAGUGAUUCGUCAAGGAGAACUUCUAUGUGGAUGA
rnacentral:lncRNA from 1 species